UUACUGCACAAGGUGAGUAACAAUUUCUUCUUCUUCUUCGAGUGAUGGGUGCUCCACUAUAGGUGAGUAUGAAGCAGUAAUCCAAACGGCUGAUCGUGCUUCGGAAUUAUCUGUGUACAGAAGAAAGAACUGCUUGAGCGACUGCUACGUCCAUAGCUCUGAAACGAUCAAGGGCAUAACGCCUAGCAAACAUGGAUGACGACGACCAGGUUGCCGCGUGGCAUAUGUCUCGUAGCGGGACGUUCUUCAGGAAUGCUGCGGAAGUUGCCAUGCUCCUGGUCGAGUGUGCUGUUGGUGCACAGGGCAGAGGCCUGCCCCUAAGGGUGUAGCAGCGAGUGAUGCAGUUAACGAUAUGCGACAAUAUACGUUGUGAUGACAGUUGAUGACCUUUAGAAUGGUUCGCCACUGAUAAUAGUAAUCGUGGGGACUUCCGGAAGGGACACGUUCUGUCCAAGUAGAAUGCAAGCACCCUUCUGACGUCUAGUGUAUGUAAGCACGCUUCCUCAGGCAUAGCAUGUGGCUUGGGGUAGAAGGUAGGAAAAACUAUAGGCUCAUUGACGUGGAAUGACAAAUUAACUUUUGGGACAAAGGCUAGGUGACAUCUCAGCGUGGUGCCCUGUUGAGUGAAUACUGUGUAGGGAGGAUCGGCGGAGAGUGCAGCGAGUUUGGAAACUCGGCAGGCCGAGGUGAUCACGAGGAGAAAGGCAACUUUAAUAGUGAGAGUCUGUAAGUCAAAAGUUGCGAGCGGUUCGAAUGGUGGGCGAGUAAGAGUGUCCAAUACGAAGGUAAGGUCCCAUGGUUCUGGGGUAGGCCUGUGUGGUGGGUAGAGAUUGGAAAUACCCUUAAAGAACCUCUUCGUGAGUGGAUGUGAGAAGAUGGAAAAACCCUCUAUCGGAGUGUGAAAAGCUGAAAUCACUGCCAAAUGUACUCUCAGGGAAGCGACCGCCAAGCCAUGUGAAUGCAAGUGGAGUAUUUAGUCUAGGAUGCAUUGGAUAUGUGCCUGGAGAGGAUCAAUGGCCUGUGCGUGGUACCAGGCGUAGAAGCAACGCCACUUGUAGAGGUAAGACCACUGAGUGGUCUGCUACCUGCUUUGUACCAACACGUCUCCAACUGCUUGGGAGCAGGUUAGUUCUAGCCCUUGAAGCCAGUUAGGAGCCAUGCUGUCAGAUGCAACCGGUCGAUGUUUGGAUUGAGAAGAUUGCUGCGUUGUUGCGAGAGCAAGUUGUGCAGUUGUGGAAGUCGUUGAGGUCGGGAUAGCGACAUCUGCAUGAGCUGCGUCAGCCAGGUCUGACUAGGCCAGAAGGGAGCCACCAGGAUUACUGUCGCUGCAUCAGCUAGUAUUUUCCCUAUCACUCAGUAUCAGCGGAAUCGGGGGAAAGGCGUAUAGAUUAUAUGUCCCCCAAUUGAGCAGGAAGGCAUCUCCCUUAGAUUGGCUGCCUAUGCCAGCUCUUGAGCAGUAACAGCGGCAUUUCUUGUUGUCGUGGGUGGCAAAGAGGUUGAUUUCUGGAUAGCCCCAUAGUUGAAAAAGAUCGCGGGCUACGUAGUCGAGGAGUUCCCAUUCGUGUUGGGAGUGGAAGGAUCUGCUGAGUGCAUCUGCAAUGGUAUUGAUCCUGCCGGGGAGGUAGGAGGCUAUGAGUGUGACGCCGUGGCGAAUCGCCCAGUUCCAAAGGCGUACCGAUUCCGCACAUAAAGUUCAGGAUCUGGCUCCGCCCUGGCGAUUGAUGUAGUAUACAGUGCACAUGUUGUACAUGAGAACAUGUAGUGUGGUUCCCUGGAUCUGAUGGACAAAGUGGCGGCAAGCAUUGAAAACUGCCCUGAGCUCCAGGAAGUUUAUAUGGAGUAGGGAUUCCUGGUGGAACCACAAGCCUUGGACGUGAUGCUUUCACAUAUGUGCUCCCCAGCCUACAAGGGACACGUCUGUGGUAAGCUGGAUUGACGGGGCGUGAGCGCAGAAGGGGACACCCGCAAGAGUAUUGGCAGGGUCGAGCCACAGGGUUGUGGAUACUGGUGAUACCGGGUUUGUAGACUGCCAGAAGCCAAUGUUGCAGGCACCGCAUACAAAGAUGAGCGUGUGCUAUCACAUACGUUGUAGACGCCAUGUGGCCUAACAGCUUCAGGCAGGUAAGGUACGAGACUGCCAGGGCAGUAAGCAGGACGCUCGAUAGGUCUCGGUUGGCGUGAGCUCUGUCUAUGGGUAGGUAUGCCAUAGCGGUUGUAGAAUCCAGUCUGGCGCCAAUGAAUUCGAUGGACUGGGCCAGGCCCAGAGAAGAUUUUGGAAGAUCGUAUUAGUCCAAGAGUCUCAAAUACCUCUUGUAGCAGUAACUGUGGUCUCAGUCUCUUGCAUAGAGGGGGCCGUGAGGAGGCAGUCGUCGAGAUAGGGACAAAUGGUGAUGCCGGCCCAUCGAAGGUACGCAGCUACGACUGCCAGGGUCUUUAAAAACACUCUUGGGGCUGCGGAGAGACCGAAGGGAAGCACUGCAUAUUGGUAGUGAUCAUUGCCAUGCCCAGGGUAAAGCUUAGAAAUCUUCUGUGAGCUGGAUGGACGGAAAUAUGGAAGUACACGUCCUGGAGCUCGAGGGACGUGAACCAAUCUCCUUGGUGUAGCGCUGGGAUGAUGGAGCCCAAAGUAACCAUUUUGAAUUUCUGUUUCCGCAGGUGGCAGUUGAGUCCACGAAGAUCCAGGAUCUGUCUCCAUCUGCCAGAUUUCUCGGUGAGGAAGUACCGGGAAUAAAAGCCUCUGCCUCGGAACUCGGGAGGAACUUCUUCUACUGCACCGAUGGGGGCAUGGACGCUGGGGUCUGCCAGAUGUCAUUAGAUAUUUCAAGGAUCACGGCAUCGAAAGGGAGAGCCAGCUUCGACUUGUUGGACUGUUGGAGGUUUCUGAGGAGGGCAUGCUGCUUCUGUGGUGCCUUGGAGGAGAGGAGCAUGUUCCAAGUCUGUCUGCGGCCGUGGACGGCUAGGAGGAACUGGCGCGUCGGACCGCGUGAUGCAGAAAAGGCGCGAACGGCACGGGACAGCUCUGCGCAUGCGCAGUCCUCCGGAGGGGGCUACUGCUGAUAAAAACUUUCCGGAUUGCGGCACCGGGACAAGCCCAACACCUAUAGUGGAGCACCCACAGGGACAUCACUCGAAGAAGAAUAACUCUUACGCUCUGUUCUGACGCUGUACUGUAAAUUUACUUGCACAAGAACAUGUGUGCAGUGUAGACACUCCACACAUUUUUGCACAAAAAGCGUGCAGUGUAGACAGCCUCAAUAUAUUUCUGAAGCAGUAAUUUUUGUUAUAGGCAAGCCACCUGGCUGAUCACUCCCUGAUCACUUACCUGCUGGUUGAGCCAAUCAAGCCUCAUUCGGAGAAAUGUUAGAUAUCUGCCUAGGUAAGCCAUAUGUCUCUUCAGUGGCUCAUUAAGGAAAGAGCAUGCUGGUCUACUCUGAGUGAUGGCUUUGCUGACCGCACUGGGAAGUGUUUUUAAAACACUAGCACUCAUAUUAGCCGGUUACAUAAACUACAUAUUAUGGCAACAUAAUAGAGACUCGUGACUGGAUUAACAAAAGGUACUUAAGCAGCUAAUCAGGGGCUUAGGCUUCACAAUAAUGCAGAGAACUCUCCCCAGAUCCCAUAGGUGACUAAACCCACUUGGUUCCUAAAUUUUCAGGAAUAAAAGCUCCCCAGACACUGAUGUUUCUUCCUCUGAUCAUGAGCACUCUUGGCCUGCGGAUGCCUACUUCCUGCCUGAGGCCAGGUUUACAUUAGACCUGGAAAGUUGAGCUAAGGCAGUGGUCUCCAACCUUUUUACACCCAAGAUCACUUUUUAAAUGACAGAGCAAGCCAAUCAGUUACGAGGUAAGAAACCGUUCUUUCUUCGAGUGAUUGCUCAUGUGCAUUCCAAAGCAGAACCUAUGGAGGAGGGCCGGAUAUUGAAGCUACGGGGGAGUGGAGGACCGCCCUGCCCAGGGCAGCAUCUUCCCUGGCUUGAUGCAUUAGUGCAUAGUGAUUGGCGAAGGUAUGGACAGAGGCUCUGCAGAUGUCCAGGAUGGGAACCUGUGCCAUGAAAGUGGUGGAGGCCACCACAGCUCUUGUGGAG